CCAGCAGCCGCGGUAAUUCCAGCUCCAAUAGCGUAUAUUAAAGUUGUUGCAGUUAACAAGCUCGUAGUUGAAUUUCUGGUAGGGUGCCAAUGUCCGCCGCCGUGAGUGCGCAGCGGCGCCCUUCCAUCCUUCUGUCAACGCUUCUUGGCAUUCGUUUGCUGGUUGCGGGCUCAGAUAUUUUACCUUGAGAAAAUUAGAGUGUUUCAGGCAGGCUAGGCCGGAAUACAUUAGCAUGGAAUAAUGGAAUAGGACUACGGUCUCUUUGUUCGUUUGAGGGACUGCAGUAAUGAUUAAUAGGGAUAGUUGGGGGCAUUAGUAUUUAAUUGUCAGAGGUGAAAUUCUCGGAUUUGUUAUAGACUAACUUAUGCGAAAGCAUUUGCCAAGGAUGUUUUCAUUAAUCAAG
rnacentral:rRNA from 1 species